rnacentral:rRNA from 1 species
UUUUGGACAAUGGGCGCAAGCCUGAUCCAGCCAUUCCGCGUGCAGGAUGAAGGCCUUCGGGUUGUAAACUGCUUUUGUACGGAACGAAAAGGCUCUGGCUAAUACCUGGGGCUCAUGACGGUACCGUAAGAAUAAGCACCGGCUAACUACGUGCCAGCAGCCGCGGUAAUACGUAGGGUGCGAGCGUUAAUCGGAAUUACUGGGCGUAAAGCGUGCGCAGGCGGUUAUGUAAGACAGAGGUGAAAUCCCCGGGCUCAACCUGGGAACUGCCUUUGUGACUGCAUGACUAGAGUACGGCAGAGGGGGAUGGAAUUCCGCGUGUAGCAGUGAAAUGCGUAGAUAUGCGGAGGAACACCGAUGGCGAGGGCAAUCCCCUGGGCCUGUACUGACGCUCAUGCACGAAG